rnacentral:rRNA from 1 species
GUAGGUGGCAAGCGUUGUCCGGGAAUUAUUGGGGCGUAAAGCGCGCGCAGGUGGUUUCUUAAGUCUGAUGUGAAAGCCCACGGGCUCAACCGUGGAGGGUCAUUGGAAACUGGGGAACUUGAGUGCAGAAGAGGAAAGUGGAAUUCCAAGUGUAGCGGUGAAAUGCGUAGAGAUUUGGAGGAACACCAGUGGCGAAGGCGACUUUCUGGUCUGUAACUGACACUGAGGCGCGAAAGCGUGGGGAGCAAACAGGAUUAGAUACCCUGGUAGUCCACGCCGUAAACGAUGAGUGCUAAGUGUUAGAGGGUUUCCGCCCUUUAGUGCUGCAGCUAACGCAUUAAGCACUCCGCCUGGGGAGUACGGUCGCAAAGACUG